UGCAAGUCGAACGGAAAGGCCCCUUCGGGGGUACUCGAGUGGCGAACGGGUGAGUAACACGUGGGUGAUCUGCCCUGCACUUUGGGAUAAGCCUGGGAAACUGGGUCUAAUACCGAAUAGGACUCCGGACUGCAUGGUCUGGGGUGGAAAGCUUUUGCGGUGUGGGAUGGGCCCGCGGCCUAUCAGCUUGUUGGUGGGGUGAUGGCCUACCAAGGCGACGACGGGUAGCCGGCCUGAGAGGGUGUCCGGCCACACUGGGACUGAGAUACGGCCCAGACUCCUACGGGAGGCAGCAGUGGGGAAUAUUGCACAAUGGGCGCAAGCCUGAUGCAGCGACGCCGCGUGAGGGAUGACGGCCUUCGGGUUGUAAACCUCUUUCGCCAGGGACGAAGCGCAAGUGACGGUACCUGGAGAAGAAGCACCGGCCAACUACGUGCCAGCAGCCGCGGUAAUACGUAGGGUGCGAGCGUUGUCCGGAAUUACUGGGCGUAAAGAGCUCGUAGGUGGUUUGUCGCGUUGUUCGUGAAAACUCACAGCUUAACUGUGGGCGUGCGGGCGAUACGGGCAGACUGGAGUACUGCAGGGGAGACUGGAAUUCCUGGUGUAGCGGUGGAAUGCGCAGAUAUCAGGAGGAACACCGGUGGCGAAGGCGGGUCUCUGGGCAGUAACUGACGCUGAGGAGCGAAAGCGUGGGGAGCGAACAGGAUUAGAUACCCUGGUAGUCCACGCCGUAAACGGUGGGUACUAGGUGUGGGUUUCCUUCCUUGGGAUCCGUGCCGUAGCUAACGCAUUAAGUACCCCGCCUGGGGAGUACGGCCGCAAGGCUAAAACUCAAAGGAAUUGACGGGGGCCCGCACAAGCGGCGGAGCAUGUGGAUUAAUUCGAUGCAACGCGAAGAACCUUACCUGGGUUUGACAUGCACAGGACGCCGGCAGAGAUGUCGGUUCCCUUGUGGCCUGUGUGCAGGUGGUGCAUGGCUGUCGUCAGCUCGUGUCGUGAGAUGUUGGGUUAAGUCCCGCAACGAGCGCAACCCUUGUCUCAUGUUGCCAGCACGUUAUGGUGGGGACUCGUGAGAGACUGCCGGGGUCAACUCGGAGGAAGGUGGGGAUGACGUCAAGUCAUCAUGCCCCUUAUGUCCAGGGCUUCACACAUGCUACAAUGGCCGGUACAAAGGGCUGCGAUGCCGUGAGGUGGAGCGAAUCCUUUCAAAGCCGGUCUCAGUUCGGAUCGGGGUCUGCAACUCGACCCCGUGAAGUCGGAGUCGCUAGUAAUCGCAGAUCAGCAACGCUGCGGUGAAUACGUUCCCGGGCCUUGUACACACCGCCCGUCACGUCAUGAAAGUCGGUAACACCCGAAGCCGGUGGCCUAACCCUU
rnacentral:rRNA from 1 species